UACGUAGGAUGCAAGCGUUGUCCGGAAUUAUUGGGCGUAAAGAGCGAGCAGGCGGUUUGGAAAGUUGGACGUGAAAUUUUAGGGCUUAACCCUAAAGGGUCGUCCAAAACUCCCAGACUAGAGUGCAGGAGAGGAAAGCGGAAUUCCCGGUGUAGUGGUGAAAUGCGUAGAUAUCGGGAGGAACACCAGAGGCGAAGGCGGCUUUCUGGCCUGUAACUGACGCUGAGGCACGAAAGCGUGGGGAGCAAACAGG
rnacentral:rRNA from 1 species